rnacentral:rRNA from 1 species
AUGCCACUUCCUCAGCUGCCAGACUGGGUGUUCCUCUCGAAGGAGGACCGAAUCCUGGCUAAGGAGGCAGAGAAGAAGGAUGCCACCCUUAUCGCCGAGGAGGAGUGGAAUCACUGUGAUGUGCCACGGGCUGCCGAGGAGGAUCCCACAUGUCGGAGGUUCAUACCGACACUAUCGUCGUGGGACCGCUAUUUGUUCGGAGGGGCACACAAGUGGCGGAUCAUGAUGUUCAUAUCUGCAAAAACAACCUCCACCUCCACUCCAAGCAUUCCUGCUAGUAAUCUGAAACAGAGUUCCUGCCGAGACAUCAUGUUACAUGAACUAUCUAUUGCUACGGAUGUUCGCGGACGAUUGUGA